GUAGGUAACAGCUCAGGGGUAGAGCACAUGCUUAACAAGCACGAGGUCCUGGGUUCAAUCCCCAGUACCUCCA
rfam:Camelus ferus unplaced genomic scaffold scaffold1119, whole genome shotgun sequence.